rnacentral:misc_RNA from 1 species
GAUGAAAGAACGUAGCGAAAUGCGAUACGUAAUGUGAAUUGCAGAAUUCAGUGAAUCAUCGAGUCUUUGAACGCACAUUGCGCCCCCUGGUAUUCCGGGGGGCAUGCCUGUCCGAGCGUCAUUGCUGCCCUCAAGCACGGCUUGUGUGUUGGGCCCCCGUCCCCCCCUCCCGGGGGACGGGCCCGAAAGGCAGCGGCGGCACCGCGUCCGGUCCUCGAGCGUAUGGGGCUUUGUCACCCGCUCUGUAGGCCCGGCCGGCGCCUGCCGACCACCAUCAAUCUUUUUUCAGGUUGACCUCGGAUCAGGUAGGGAUACCCGCUGAACUUAAGCAUAUCAAUAAGCGGAGGA